GGUCGUCGGAUCGGACCUCCGAAGAGCGGAUCUCGGCGGAGGAGAUGGAGAAGAGGAUGGAGAUGGUGAUGAGGAGAGGGAAGAGAAGGAACCUAGCCAUGGGAUCCGUUUGAGGAGGGGGGAGAGAGAUCGGAGAUCACAGAAGAUCUGGCAAUGGCUCGCUCAGUGAAGAUGGCGAGGCCUUUGAUUUGAGAAGGGGAAGAAGAAUGGGAAGCAACCACACAAAGGGAUUGAUGAGAGACUUUUGUAUUUUGGUUAUAGUUGGGAGAAUUUCGUGUCGGUUGGAAUUUGGAAAUAGGGAGACGACUUUUGAAAUUACGGUAAAGGGUUUGGUCUUUCUUGGUAUCUACAGAUCUCUACGCGGAAAUGAGACAGAUUGAUGUAUGCCUAGAGGGGUAAUAUUGGUAAAACGUUAAGAGUAGUCGUUUGCUUUGCUUGGAAUCAAUCAAAGAGGAAGGUUGUUCAAAAC
rnacentral:lncRNA from 1 species